rnacentral:misc_RNA from 1 species
GAAAUGCGAUAAGUAAUGUGAAUUGCAGAAUUCAGUGAAUCAUCGAAUCUUUGAACGCACAUUGCGCCCGCCAGUAUUCUGGCGGGCAUGCCUGUCCGAGCGUCAUUUCAACCAUCAAGCCCCCGGGCUUGUGUUGGGGACCUGCGGCUGCCCGCAGGCCCUGAAAACCAGUGGCGGGCUCGCUGUCACACCGAGUGUAGUAGCAAUCACCUCGCUCAGGGCGUGCUGCGGGUUCCGGCCGUUAAACAGCCUUACAAAACCCAAGGUUGACCUCGGAUCAGGUAGGAAGACCCGCUGAACUUAAGC